rnacentral:lncRNA from 1 species
CUCGGGCCGGGGAUUAAGCUCAGUAUCACCACGCCUGCCUCACACGUGCAAGGUCCUGAGUUCAAUCCUCAGUACCAAAAAAAAGAAAAAGAAAGGAAAAGAAUGAAGCAGCGAUGAAGGAGCAAUAAAGUCCUUCCAAGUAUCUAGCAUGUGCAGUUUUAUUUGACUGUCAUCAGGACUGGCUGUGUACUUGCCCCAACCCAACCUAAGGGUCUUAUAGUUCAGGCUGGCUGAACUCACUCCUUUUCCCCAAUAAAGCCUACUCUGAAAAACAUUUUUCUUAAUAAAAAAUGUUCAACUUUUCAACUCAGAGCUGACUAAGCACCUCAUUGUUUUGGCUGCUAUUUACACUGUCCUGGAGGAAUAAAUGUCAUUAGUUCAGUAAGAGAGAAUCUGCAAUGAAAUACAAUUUGUAGGAAAUAAAAAUAUAUCUAAUAUUUCAUAAUUAGUAUUCUCUGUUACUAUGGGAACUACGUAAAGUAUAAUUUGAAGUAGAAAUAUCAUAUGCCACAGUUUUGAAAUGUGUGAAAGUGCUGGAUGUGGUGGUGG